rnacentral:rRNA from 1 species
AGCGAACGCUGGCGGCAGGCUUAACACAUGCAAGUCGAGCGGGCGUAGCAAUACGUCAGCGGCAGACGGGUGAGUAACACGUGGGAACGUACCUUUGGUUCGGAACAACACAGGGAAACUUGUGCUAAUACCGGAUAAGCCCUUACGGGGAAAGAUUAUCGCCGAAAGAUCGGCCCGCGUCUGAUUAGCUAGUUGGUGAGGUAACGGCUCACCAAGGCGACGAUCAGUAGCUGGUCNGAGAGGAUGAUCAGCCACACUGGGACUGAGACACGGCCAGACUCCUACGGGAGGCAGCAGUGGGGAAUAUUGGACAAUGGGCGCAAGCCUGAUCCAGCCAUGCCGCGUGAGUGAUGAAGGCCCUAGGGUUGUAAAGCUCUUUUGUGCGGGAAGAUAAUGACGGUACCGCAAGAAUAAG